CGCAGGAUAAAAACGCAACGCAGAUGCUUCGGCAUCUGCCAGAGCUGGUAGGUAGCCCAGCCGUCUGCACAAGGUUGAUUGGUGCAGGUAAGUAACCUUCCCCUCCGGGUCGUCCGUUCCUGUGAGAU
rnacentral:ncRNA from 1 species